rnacentral:lncRNA from 1 species
UUUUUGUUAUCCUUAUUUCUAAGUCACAAUACCAAAUCUACAAUAGUUCUCUAUAAAAAUGAAAAUUUUCCAAAAAUAGCAGGUAUUGUAAAAAAUUGUUUUAAAAAUGCAAUCUAUGGAAGAAAAAAUCUGAAAAAAUACUUAAAUAUCAACAAAAAUUCUUGUUAUCCUAAUUUCUAAGUGACAAUCCCCAAUUUACGAUAGUUCUCUAUAUAAAUGAAAAUUUCCAAAAAUAUGAGGUUUUUUAAAACUUAUUUAAAAAAUGCAACCUAUUAAUGAAAUGUUUUUAAAAAAAAUACCUAUCUAUUAACAAAAAUUCUUGUUAUACUAGUUUAUAAGUUACAAUCCUAAAUCUACAAUAUUUCUCUAUGUAAAUGAAAUAUUUCCAAAGACAGGAGGUUUUUUAUAAAUUAUUUAAAAGUGCAACCUAUUGAUGAAAUUUUUUGAAAGAAUAUUCAUCUAUUAACAAAAAUUCAUGUUAUACUAAUUUCUAAGUCAAACUAUUGAUGAAAUUUAGUGAGAGAAUACUCAUCUAUCAACAAAAUUCUAGUUAUUAUAAUUUCUAACUCACAAUUCCAAAUCUACAAUAGUUCUCUAUAGAAAUAAAAACUUUCCAAAAAUAGCAGCUUUCGUAAAAAUUAUUGAGAAAAUGCAACCUAUUAAUGAAAAAUUCUGAAAAAUACUCAUCUAUCAGAGAAAAUUCUUGUUAUCCUAAUUUCAAAGUCACAACCUCAAAUCUACAAUAGUACUCUAUACAAAUGAAAACUUUCCAAAAAUAUCAGUUUUUGUAAAAAUGUAUUGAAAAAUGUAACCCGUUGAUGGAAAAUUAUGAAAGAAUACUCAUCUAUCAAAACAAAUUCUUGUUAUCCUUAUUUCUAAGUCAGAGUCCCAAAUAUACAACAGUUCUCUAUAAAAAUGAAAAUUUUCAAAAAAUAGGAGGUUUUGUAAAAAAAUGUUUUAAAAAUGCAAUCUAUGGAAUAAAAAAUCUGAAAGAAUACUUAAAUAUCAACAAAAAUUUUUGUUAUCCUAAUUUCUAAGUGACAAUCCUCAAUCUACAGCAGUUCUCUAUUUAAAUGAAAACUUUCCAAAAAUAUGAGUUGUAUUAAAAAUUAUUUUAAAAAUGCAACCUACUAAUGAAGUUUUUUGAAAGAAUACUUAUAUAUCAACGAAAAUUCUUGUUAUACUAAUUUCUAAGUGACAAUGCCAAAUCUACAAUAGUUCUUUUUCUAAAUGAAAACUUUCCAAAAAUAAGAAGUUUUUUAAAAGUUAUUUAAAAAAUGCAACCUAUUGAUCAACAAUUCUGAAAGAAUACUCAUCUAUCAACGAAAAUUUUUGUUAUCCUAAUUUUAAAGUCACAACCCCAAAUCUAUAAUAGUACUCUAUAAAAAUGAAAACUUUUCAAAAAUAACAGUUUUUAUAAAAACUAUUGAAAAAUGUAACUUAUUGAUGAACAAUUCUGAAAGAAUACUCAUCUAUCAAAAACAAUUCUUGCUAUUCUUAUUUCUAAGUCACAAUCCCAAAUCUACAACAGUUCUCUAUAAAAAUGAAAACUUUUCAAAAAUAGCAGCUUUUGUACAAAUUAUUUAAAAAAUGCAAUCUAUUGAAGAAAAAAUCUGAAAGAAUACUCAUCUAUCAACAUAAAUUCUUGUUAUCCUAAUUUCUAAGUGACAAUCCUAAAUAUAAAAUAGUUCUCUAUAUAAAUGAAAACUUUCCAAAAACAGGAGGUUUUUUAAAAGUUAUAUAAAAAAUGCAACCUAUUGAUGAAAAUUUCUGAAAGAAUACUCAUCUAUUAACAAUAAUUCUUGUUAUCCUAAUUUCUAAGUCACAAUCCUAAAUCUAUAAUAGUUCUCUAUAAAAAUGAAAACUCUCCAAAAAUAGCAGUUUUUGUAAAAAUUAUUGAAAAAUGUAACUUAUUAAUGACAAAAUCUGAAAGAAUACUCAUAUAUUAAAACAAAUUCUUGUUGUCCUUAUUUCUAAGUCACAAUCUCAAGUCUACAACAGUUCUCUAUACAUAUGAAAACUUUCCAAAAACAUCAGUUGUUGUAAAAAGUAUUUAAGAAAUGGAUUCUAUUGAAGAAAAAUCUGAAAGAAUACUUAUAUAUCAACAAAAAUUCUUGUUAUCCUAAUUUCUAAGUGACAGUCCCACAUCUACAAUAGUUCUCUAUAUAAAUGAAAAUUUCCAAAAAUAUGAGGUUUUUUAAAACUUUUUUAAGAAAUGCAACCUAUUGAUGAAAAAUUCUGAAAAAUAUCCAUCUAUUAACAAAAAUUCUUGUUAUACUAAUUUCUAUGUUACAAUCCUAAAUCUACAAUAGUUCUCUAUAUAAAUGAAAAAUUUCCAAAAACAGGAGGUUUUUUAAAAAUUAUUUAAAAAGUGCAACCUAUUGAUAAAUUUUUUGAAAGAAUACUAAUCUAUUAACAAAAAUUCAUGUUAUACUAAUUUCUAAGUCAAACUAUUGAUGAAAUUUUGUGAGAGAAUACUCAUCUAUCAACAAAAUUUUGUGACAGAAUACUAAUUUCUAAGUCACAAUCCCAAAUCUACAAUAGUUCUCUAUAGAAAUAAAAUUUUUCCAAAAAUAGCAGAUUUCGUAAAAAUUAUUGAGAAAAUGCAACCUAUUAAUGAAAAAUUCUGAAAAAUACUCAUCUAUAAAAGAAAAUUCUUGUUAUCCUAAUUUCAAAGUAACAACCUCAAAUCUACAAUAGUUCUCUAUACAAAUGAAAACUUUCCAAAUGACCAACUUCGGUCAAUUCUAAGAGUAACCUGUUUACCUAAAUAAGUCUUCUCUGGAAAUUUCAAAAUUUUUUGUUUACAAAGGAAAGUUAGAAGACUUCUAGGAAAGUCUUUUAUUAAAACACACAAAAAGUCAAUUGCAAAACUAACCUAUGCAUUGACCAGAAGACUCCUAAAGAAGUCUUUGUCGAACAGAUCUGAAAAAUAAAAUGUGGUUCGCAAUUUCAUACCUUGAACUCGCGAGAUGACUUGCGUGGUUUCUCCAAUAACCCAGAACUUCACUAGAACAACUACCUACUCGUUUAUCACCAAGAAUCGUGAGCUUAUGAACCUUACAUAAUUUGUAAUCAAAAUCUUCAGUUUUUUUGAUGAAUUUUGUGAGAAACUGUAAGAUAUGUGGUUUGUGUGGAUAGAAAAUGAGAAAGGAUAAAGAAAAAAAUCGAAACUUUAGAGCAUGAACACUCUCAAUUUGGUAGUUCAUGGUGGUUGAGGUAUUGAUGUCAAUGGCAAAGUUGUAAAUAUUUGGUGAAGAUGACGAUGGUAAGGUAAAAACAUUAUUUUCAUACUUAAAUAUCAACAAAAAUUCUUGUUAUCCUAAUUUCUAAGUGACAGUCCCACAUCUACAAUAGUUCUCUAUAUAAAUGAAAAUUUCCAAAAAUAUGAGGUUUUUUAAAACUUUUUUAAGAAAUGCAACCUAUUGAUGAAAAAUUCUGAAAAAUAUCCAUCUAUUAACAAAAAUUCUUGUUAUACUAAUUUCUAUGUUACAAUCCUAAAUCUACAAUAGUUCUCUAUAUAAAUCAAAAUUUCCAAAAAUUAGAGGUUUUUUAAAACUUAUUUAAGAAAUGCAACCUAUUGAUGAAAAAUUCUGAAAAAUAUCCAUCUAUUAACAAAAAUUCUUGUUAUACUAAUUUCUAUGUUACAAUCCUAAAUCUACAAUAGUUCUCUAUAUAAAUCAAAAUUUCCAAAAAUUAGAGGUUUUUUAAAACUUAUUUAAGAAAUGCAACCUAUUGAUGAAAAAUUCUGAAAAAUAUCCAUCUAUUAACAAAAAUUCUUGUUAUACUAAUUUCUAUGUUACAAUCCUAAAUCUACAAUAGUUCUCUAUAUAAAUCAAAAUUUCCAAAAAUUAGAGGUUUUUUAAAACUUAUUUAAGAAAUGCAACCUAUUGAUGAAAAAUUCUGAAAAAUAUCCAUCUAUUAACAAAAAUUCUUGUUAUACUAAUUUCUAUGUUACAAUCCUAAAUCUACAAUAGUUCUCUAUAUAAAUCAAAAUUUCCAAAAAUUAGAGGUUUUUUAAAACUUAUUUAAGAAAUGCAACCUAUUGAUGAAAAAUUCUGAAAAAUAUCCAUCUAUUAACAAAAAUUCUUGUUAUACUAAUUUCUAUGUUACAAUCCUAAAUCUACAAUAGUUCUCUAUAUAAAUCAAAAUUUCCAAAAAUUAGAGGUUUUUUAAAACUUAUUUAAGAAAUGCAACCUAUUGAUGAAAAAUUCUGAAAAAUAUCCAUCUAUUAACAAAAAUUCUUGUUAUACUAAUUUCUAUGUUACAAUCCUAAAUCUACAAUAGUUCUCUAUAUAAAUCAAAAUUUCCAAAAAUUAGAGGUUUUUUAAAACUUAUUUAAGAAAUGCAACCUAUUGAUGAAAAAUUCUGAAAAAUAUCCAUCUAUUAACAAAAAUUCUUGUUAUACUAAUUUCUAUGUUACAAUCCUAAAUCUACAAUAGUUCUCUAUAUAAAUCAAAAUUUCCAAAAAUUAGAGGUUUUUUAAAACUUAUUUAAGAAAUGCAACCUAUUGAUGAAAAAUUCUGAAAAAUAUCCAUCUAUUAACAAAAAUUCUUGUUAUACUAAUUUCUAUGUUACAAUCCUAAAUCUACAAUAGUUCUCUAUAUAAAUCAAAAUUUCCAAAAAUUAGAGGUUUUUUAAAACUUAUUUAAGAAAUGCAACCUAUUGAUGAAAAAUUCUGAAAAAUAUCCAUCUAUUAACAAAAAUUCUUGUUAUACUAAUUUCUAUGUUACAAUCCUAAAUCUACAAUAGUUCUCUAUAUAAAUCAAAAUUUCCAAAAAUUAGAGGUUUUUUAAAACUUAUUUAAGAAAUGCAACCUAUUGAUGAAAAAUUCUGAAAAAUAUCCAUCUAUUAACAAAAAUUCUUGUUAUACUAAUUUCUAUGUUACAAUCCUAAAUCUACAAUAGUUCUCUAUAUAAAUCAAAAUUUCCAAAAAUUAGAGGUUUUUUAAAACUUAUUUAAGAAAUGCAACCUAUUGAUGAAAAAUUCUGAAAAAUAUCCAUCUAUUAACAAAAAUUCUUGUUAUACUAAUUUCUAUGUUACAAUCCUAAAUCUACAAUAGUUCUCUAUAUAAAUCAAAAUUUCCAAAAAUUAGAGGUUUUUUAAAACUUAUUUAAGAAAUGCAACCUAUUGAUGAAAAAUUCUGAAAAAUAUCCAUCUAUUAACAAAAAUUCUUGUUAUACUAAUUUCUAUGUUACAAUCCUAAAUCUACAAUAGUUCUCUAUAUAAAUCAAAAUUUCCAAAAAUUAGAGGUUUUUUAAAACUUAUUUAAGAAAUGCAACCUAUUGAUGAAAAAUUCUGAAAAAUAUCCAUCUAUUAACAAAAAUUCUUGUUAUACUAAUUUCUAUGUUACAAUCCUAAAUCUACAAUAGUUCUCUAUAUAAAUCAAAAUUUCCAAAAAUUAGAGGUUUUUUAAAACUUAUUUAAGAAAUGCAACCUAUUGAUGAAAAAUUCUGAAAAAUAUCCAUCUAUUAACAAAAAUUCUUGUUAUACUAAUUUCUAUGUUACAAUCCUAAAUCUACAAUAGUUCUCUAUAUAAAUCAAAAUUUCCAAAAAUUAGAGGUUUUUUAAAACUUAUUUAAGAAAUGCAACCUAUUGAUGAAAAAUUCUGAAAAAUAUCCAUCUAUUAACAAAAAUUCUUGUUAUACUAAUUUCUAUGUUACAAUCCUAAAUCUACAAUAGUUCUCUAUAUAAAUCAAAAUUUCCAAAAAUUAGAGGUUUUUUAAAACUUAUUUAAGAAAUGCAACCUAUUGAUGAAAAAUUCUGAAAAAUAUCCAUCUAUUAACAAAAAUUCUUGUUAUACUAAUUUCUAUGUUACAAUCCUAAAUCUACAAUAGUUCUCUAUAUAAAUCAAAAUUUCCAAAAAUUAGAGGUUUUUUAAAACUUAUUUAAGAAAUGCAACCUAUUGAUGAAAAAUUCUGAAAAAUAUCCAUCUAUUAACAAAAAUUCUUGUUAUACUAAUUUCUAUGUUACAAUCCUAAAUCUACAAUAGUUCUCUAUAUAAAUGAAAAAUUUCCAAAAACAGGAGGUUUUUUAAAAAUUAUUUAAAAAGUGCAACCUAUUGAUAAAUUUUUUGAAAGAAUACUAAUCUAUUAACAAAAAUUCAUGUUAUACUAAUUUCUAAGUCAAACUAUUGAUGAAAUUUUGUGAGAGAAUACUCAUCUAUCAACAAAAUUUUGUGACAGAAUACUAAUUUCUAAGUCACAAUCCCAAAUCUACAAUAGUUCUCUAUAGAAAUAAAAUUUUUCCAAAAAUAGCAGAUUUCGUAAAAAUUAUUGAGAAAAUGCAACCUAUUAAUGAAAAAUUCUGAAAAAUACUCAUCUAUAAAAGAAAAUUCCUGUUAUCCUAAUUUCAAAGUCACAACCCUAAAUCUACAAUAGUCCUCUAUACAAAUGAAAACUUUCCAAAAUUAGCAGUUUUUGUAAAAAUAUAUUGAAAAAUGUAACCCAUUGAUGGAAAAUUAUUAAAGAAUACUCAUCUAUCAAAAAAAAAUCUUGUUAUCCUAAUUUCUAAUUCACAAUCUCAAAUCUACAACAGUUCUCUAUAAAAAUGAAAAAUUUCCAAAAAUAGCAGGUUUUGUAAAAAAUUGUUUUAAAAAUCCAAUCUAUGGAAGAAAAAAUCUGAAAGAACACUUAAAUAUCAACAAAAAUUCUUGUUAUCCUAAUUUAUAAGUGACAAUCCCCAAUUUACAAUAGUUCUCUAUAUAAAUGAAAAUUUCCAAAAAUAUGAGGUUUUUUAAAACUUAUUUAAAAACUGCAACCUAUUGAUGAAAUAUUUUUUAAAAAAAUACUAGGCCCAUCGAUUAACAAAAAUUCUUGUUAUACUAGUUUCUAAGUUACAAUCCUAAAUCUACAAUAGUUCUCUAUGUAAAUGAAAAAUUUCCAAAAACAUGAGCUUUUUUAAAAAUUAUUUAAAACGUACAACGUAUUGAUGAAAUUUUUUGAAAGAAUACUCAUCUAUUAACAAAAAUUCAUGUUAUACUAAUUCCUAAGUCAAACUAUUGAUGAAAUUUAGUGAGAGAAUACUCAUCUAUCAACAAAAUUCUAGUUAUCCUAAUUUCUAAGUCACAAUCCCAAAUCUACAAUAGUUCUAAAUAGAAAUAAAAACUUUCCAAAAAUAGCAGCUUUCGUAAAAACUAUUGAGAAAAUGCAACCUAUUAAUGAAAAAUUCUGAAAAAUACUCAUCUAUCAAAGAAAAAUCUUGUUAUCCUAAUUUCAAAGUCACAAACCCAAAUCUACAAUAGUACUCUAUACAAAUGAAAACUUUCCAAAAAUAGCAGUUUUAUGAAAAAAUAUAUUGAAAAAUGUAAGCCAUUGAUGGAAAAUUAUGAAAGAAUACUCAUCUAUCAAAACAAAUUCUUGUUAUCCUUAUUUCUAAGUCACAAUCUCAAAUCUACAACAGUUCUCUAUAAAAAUAAAAAUUUUCCAAAAAUAGCAGGUUUUGUAAAAAAUUGUUUUAAAAAUGCAAUCUAUGGAAGAAAAAAAUCUGAGAGAAUACUUAAAUAUCAACAAAAAUUCUUGUUAUCCUAAUUUCUAAGUGACAAUCCACAAUCUAAAUUAGUUGUCUAUUUAAAUGAAAACUUUCCAAAAAUAGAAGUUUUAUAAAAAAUUAUUUUAAAAAUGCAACCUACUGAUAAAGUUUUUUGAAAGAAUACUUAUAUAUCAAAGAAAAUUCUUGUUAUACUAAUUUCUAAGUGACAAUCCAAAUCUACAAUAGUUCUCUAUGUAAAUGAAAACUUUCCAAAAAUAAGAGGUUUUGUAAAAAUUAUUUAAAAAAUGCAACCUAUUGAUGAACAAUUAUGAAAGAAUACUCAUCUAUCAACGAAAAUUCUUGUUAUCCUAAUUUUAAAGUCACAACCCAUAGUUCUCUAUGUAAAUGAAAACUUUCCAAAAAUAAGAGGUUUUGUAAAAAUUAUUUAAAAAAUGCAACCUAUUGAUGAACAAUUAUGAAAGAAUACUCAUCUAUCAACGAAAAUUCUUGUUAUCCUAAUUUUAAAGUCACAACCCAUAGUUCUCUAUGUAAAUGAAAACUUUCCAAAAAUAAGAGGUUUUGUAAAAAUUAUUUAAAAAAUGCAACCUAUUGAUGAACAAUUAUGAAAGAAUACUCAUCUAUCAACGAAAAUUCUUGUUAUCCUAAUUUUAAAGUCACAACCCAUAGUUCUCUAUGUAAAUGAAAACUUUCCAAAAAUAAGAGGUUUUGUAAAAAUUAUUUAAAAAAUGCAACCUAUUGAUGAACAAUUAUGAAAGAAUACUCAUCUAUCAACGAAAAUUCUUGUUAUCCUAAUUUUAAAGUCACAACCCAUAGUUCUCUAUGUAAAUGAAAACUUUCCAAAAAUAAGAGGUUUUGUAAAAAUUAUUUAAAAAAUGCAACCUAUUGAUGAACAAUUAUGAAAGAAUACUCAUCUAUCAACGAAAAUUCUUGUUAUCCUAAUUUUAAAGUCACAACCCAUAGUUCUCUAUGUAAAUGAAAACUUUCCAAAAAUAAGAGGUUUUGUAAAAAUUAUUUAAAAAAUGCAACCUAUUGAUGAACAAUUAUGAAAGAAUACUCAUCUAUCAACGAAAAUUCUUGUUAUCCUAAUUUCUAAGCUCAUCUAUUAACAAAAAUUCUUGUUAUAUUAAUUUCUAAGUCAAACUAUUCAUGAAAUUUAGUGAGAAAAUACUCAUCUAUCAAUAAAAUUCUAGUUAUACUAAUUUCUAAGUCACAAUCCCAAAUAUACAAUAGUUCUCUAUAGAAAUAAAAAAAUUCCAAAAAUAACAGUUUUGGUAAAAAUUAUUGAGAAACUGCAACCUAUUAAUGAAAAAUUCUGAAAAAUACUCAUCUAUCAAAGAAAAUUCUUGGUAUCCUAAUUUCAAAGUCAGAACCCCAAAUCUACAAUAGUACUCUAUACAAAUGAACACUUUCCAAAAAUAGCAGUUUUUGUAAAAAUGUAUUGAAAAAUGUAACCCAUUGAUGGAAAAUUAUGAAAGAAUAUUCAUCUAUCAAAAAAAAUUCUUGUUAUCCUUAUUUCUAAGUCACAAUCCCAAAUCUACAACAGUUCUCUAUAAAAAAUGAAAAUUUUCCAAAAAUAGCAGGUUUUGUAAAAAAUUGUUUUAAAAAUGCAACCUAUGGAAGAAAAAAAUCUGAAAAAAUACUUAAAUAUCAACAAAAUCUGAAAGAAUACUCAUAUAUUAAAACAAAUUCUUGUUGUCCUUAUUUCUAAGUCACAAUCCCAAGUCUACAACAGUUCUCUAUACAUAUGAAAACUUUCCAAAAACAUCAGUUGUUGUAAAAAGUAUUUAAGAAAUGGAUUCUAUUGAAGAAAAAUCUGAAAUAAUACUUAUAUAUCAACAAAAAUUCUUGUUAUCCUAAUUUCUAAGUGACAGUCUCACAUCUACAAUAGUUCUCUAUAUAAAUCAAAAUUUCCAAAAAUUAGAGGUUUUUUAAAACUUAUUUAAGAAAUGCAACCUAUUGAUGAAAAAUUCUGAAAAAUAUCCAUCUAUUAACAAAAAUUCUUGUUAUACUAAUUUCUAUGUUACAAUCCUAAAUCUACAAUAGUUCUCUAUAUAAAUGAAAAAUUUCCAAAAACAGGAGGUUUUUUAAAAAUUAUUUAAAAAGUGCAACCUAUUGAUAAAUUUUUUGAAAGAAUACUAAUCUAUUAACAAAAAUUCAUGUUAUACUAAUUUCUAAGACAAACUAUUGAUGAAAUUUUGUGAGAGAAUACUCAUCUAUCAACAAAAUUUUGUGACAGAAUACUAAUUUCUAAGUCACAAUCCCAAAUCUACAAUAGUUCUCUAUAGAAAUAAAAUUUUUCCAAAAAUAGCAGAUUUCGUAAAAAUUAUUGAGAAAAUGCAACCUAUUAAUGAAAAAUUCUGAAAAAUACUCAUCUAUAAAAGAAAAUUCCUGUUAUCCUAAUUUCAAAGUCACAACCCUAAAUCUACAAUAGUCCUCUAUACAAAUGAAAACUUUCCAAAAUUAGCUGUUUUUGUAAAAAUAUAUUGAAAAAUGUAACCCAUUGAUGGAAAAUUAUUAAAGAAUACUCAUCUAUCAAAAAAAAUUCUUGUUAUCCUAAUUUCUAAUUCACAAUAUCAAAUCUACAACAGUUCUCUAUAAAAAUGAAAAAUUUCCAAAAAUAGCAGGUUUUGUAAAAAAUUGUUUUAAAAAUCCAAUCUAUGGAAGAAAAAAUCUGAAAGAACACUUAAAUAUCAACAAAAAUUCUUGUUAUCCUAAUUUAUAAGUGACAAUCCCCAAUUUACAAUAGUUCUCUAUAUAAAUGAAAAUUUCCAAAAAUAUGAGGUUUUUUAAAACUUAUUUAAAAAAUGCAACCUAUUGAUGAAAUAUUUUUUAAAAAAAUACUAGGCCCAUCGAUUAACAAAAAUUCUUGUUAUACUAGUUUCUAAGUUACAAUCCUAAAUCUACAAUAGUUCUCUAUGUAAAUGAAAAAUUUCCAAAAACAUGAGCUUUUUUAAAAAUUAUUUAAAACGUACAACGUAUUGAUGAAAUUUUUUGAAAGAAUACUCAUCUAUUAACAAAAAUUCAUGUUAUACUAAUUCCUAAGUCAAACUAUUGAUGAAAUUUAGUGAGAGAAUACUCAUCUAUCAACAAAAUUCUAGUUAUCCUAAUUUCUAAGUCACAAUCCCAAAUCUACAAUAGUUCUAAAUAGAAAUAAAAACUUUCCAAAAAUAGCAGCUUUCGUAAAAACUAUUGAGAAAAUGCAACCUAUUAAUGAAAAAUUCUGAAAAAUACUCAUCUAUCAAAGAAAAAUCUUGUUAUCCUAAUUUCAAAGUCACAAACCCAAAUCUACAAUAGUACUCUAUACAAAUGAAAACUUUCCAAAAAUAGCAGUUUUAUGAAAAAAUAUAUUGAAAAAUGUAAGCCAUUGAUGGAAAAUUAUGAAAGAAUACUCAUCUAUCAAAACAAAUUCUUGUUAUCCUUAUUUCUAAGUCACAAUCUCAAAUCUACAACAGUUCUCUAUAAAAAUAAAAAUUUUCCAAAAAUAGCAGGUUUUGUAAAAAAUUGUUUUAAAAAUGCAAUCUAUGGAAGAAAAAAAUCUGAGAGAAUACUUAAAUAUCAACAAAAAUUCUUGUUAUCCUAAUUUCUAAGUGACAAUCCACAAUCUAAAUUAGUUGUCUAUUUAAAUGAAAACUUUCCAAAAAUAGAAGUUUUAUAAAAAAUUAUUUUAAAAAUGCAACCUACUGAUAAAGUUUUUUGAAAGAAUACUUAUAUAUCAAAGAAAAUUCUUGUUAUACUAAUUUCUAAGUGACAAUCCAAAUCUACAAUAGUUCUCUAUGUAAAUGAAAACUUUCCAAAAAUAAGAGGUUUUUUAAAAAUUAUUUAAAAAAUGCAACCUAUUGAUGAACAAUUCUGAAAGAAUACUCAUCUAUCAACGAAAAUUCUUGUUAUCCUAAUUUUAAAGUCAUAACCCCAAAUCUAUAAUAGUACUCUAUAAAAAUGAAAACUUUCCAAAAAUAGCAGUUUUUGUAAAUACUAUUGAAAAAUAUAACUUAUUGAUGAAAAAUUCUGAAAGAAUACUCUUCUAUCAAAACAAAUUCUUGCUAUCCUUAUUUCUAAGUCACAAUCCCAAAUCUACAACAGUUCUCUAUAAUAAUGAAAAAUUUCCAAAAAUUAGCAGUAUUUGUAUGAAUUAUUUAAAAAAUGCAAUCUAUAUAGAAGAAAAAAUCUCAAAAAAUACUCAUCUAUCAACAAAAUUCUCGGUAUCCUAAUUUUUAAGUCACAAUCCCAAAUCUACAAUAGUUCUCUAUAGAAAUAAAAACUUUCCAAAAAUAGCAGCUUUCGUAAAAAUUAUUGAGAAAAUGCAACCUAUUAAUGAAAAAUUAUGAAAGAAUACUCAUCUAUUAACAAAAAUUCAUGUUAUACUAAUUUCUAAGUCAAACUAUUGAUGAAAUUUUGUGAGAGAAUACUCAUAUAUCAACAAAAUUCUAGUUAUCCAAAUUUCUAAGUCACAAUCCUAAAUCUACAAUAGUUCUCUAUAGAAAUAAAAACUUUCCAAAAUAGCUGCUUUCGUAAAAAUUAUUGAGAAAAUGCAACAUAUUAAUGAAAAAUUCUGAAAAAUACUAAUCUAUCAAAGAAAAUUCUUGUUUCUAAUUUCAAAGUCACAACCCCAAAUCUACAAUAGUACUCUAUACAAAUGAAAACUUUCCAAAAAUAGCAGUUUUUGUAAAAAUAUAUUGAAAAAUGUAACCCAUUGAUGCAAAAUUAUGAAAGAAUACUCAUCUAUCAAAAAUAAUUAUUCUUAUCCUUAUUUCUAAGUCACAAUCUCAAAUCUACAACAGUUCUCUAUAAAAAUAAAAAAUUUCCAAAAAUAGCACGUUUUGUAAAAAAAUGUUUUAAAAAUGCCGUCUAUUGAAGAAAAAAUCUGAAAGAGUACUUAAAUAUCAACAAAAAUUCUUGUUAUCUUAAUUUUUAAGUAACAAUCCACGAUCUACAGUAGUUCUCUAUUUAAAUAAAAAAUUUCCUAAAAUAUGAGUUUGAUUAAAAAUUAUUUUAAAAAUGCAACCUACUAAUAAAGUUUUUUGAAAGAAUACUUAUAUAUCAACGAAAAUUCUUGUUAUCCUAAUUUGUAAGUGACAAUCUCAAAUCUACAAUAGUUCUCUAUGUAAAUGUAAACUUUCCAAAAAUAAGAGGUUUUUUAAAAAUUAUUUAAAAAAUGCAACCUAUUGAUGAAAAAUUCUGAAAGAAUACUCGUCUAUCAACGAAAAUUCUUGUUAUCCUAAUUUUAAAGUCACAACCCCAAAUCUAUAAUAGUACUCCAUAAAAAUGAAAACUUUCCAAAAACAGCAGU